rnacentral:rRNA from 1 species
AGUGAACGCUGGCGGUAGGCCUAACACAUGCAAGUCGAACGGCAGCACAGUAAGAGCCUGCUCUUACGGGUGGCGAGUGGCGGACGGGUGAGGAAUACAUCGGAAUCUACUUUUUCGUGGGGGAUAACGUAGGGAAACUUACGCUAAUACCGCAUACGACCUACGGGUGAAAGCAGGGGAUCUUCGGACCUUGCGCGAUUGAAUGAGCCGAUGUCGGAUUAGCUAGUUGGCGGGGUAAAGGCCCACCAAGGCGACGAUCCGUAGCCGGUCUGAGAGGAUGAUCAGCCACACUGGAACUGAGACACGGUCCAGACUCCUACGGGAGGCAGCAGUGGGGAAUAUUGGACAAUGGGCGCAAGCCUGAUCCAGCCAUACCGCGUGGGUGAAGAAGGCCUUCGGGUUGUAAAGCCCUUUUGUUGGGAAAGAAAAGCAGCAGGUUAAUACCCCGCUGUUCUGACGGUACCCAAAGAAUAAGCACCGGCUAACUUCGUG